GGGGGGAGCAAGCGUUGUUCGGAUUUACUGGGCGUAAAGGGCGCGUAGGCGGCCAGCACAAGUCAGUUGUGAAAUCUCCGAGCUUAACUCGGAAAGGUCAACUGAUACUGUGCGGCUAGAGUGCGGAAGGGGCAACUGGAAUUCUUGGUGUAGCGGUGAAAUGCGUAGAUAUCAAGAGGAACACCUGCGGCGAAGGCGGGUUGCUGGGCUGACACUGACGCUGAGGCGCGAAGGCUAGGGGAGCGAACGGGAUUAGAUACCCCGGUAGUCCUAGCCUUAAACGAUGAAUGCUUGGUGUCUGGGGUUAUAAAGUCCCUGGGUGCCGUCGCUAACGCUUUAAGCAUUCCGCCUGGGGAGUACGGUCGCAAGACUG
rnacentral:rRNA from 1 species